AUUGAACGCUGGCGGCAGGCCUAACACAUGCAAGUCGAGCGGAUGAAGGGAGCUUGCUCCUGGAUUCAGCGGCGGACGGGUGAGUAAUGCCUAGGAAUCUGCCUGGUCGUGGGGGAUAACGUCCGGAAACGGGCGCUAAUACCGCAUACGUCCUGAGGGAGAAAGGGGGGGAUCUUCGGACCUCACGCGAUCAGAUGAGCCUAGGUCGGAUUAGCUAGUUGGUGGGGUAAAGGCCUACCAAGGCGACGAUCCGUAACUGGUCUGAGAGGAUGAUCAGUCACACUGGAACUGAGACACGGUCCAGACUCCUACGGGAGGCAGCAGUGGGGAAUAUUGGACAAUGGGCGAAAGCCUGAUCCAGCCAUGCCGCGUGUGUGAAGAAGGUCUUCGGAUUGUAAAGCACUUUAAGUUGGGAGGAAGGGCAGUAAGUUAAUACCUUGCUGUUUUGACGGUACCAACAGAAUAAGCACCGGCUAACUUCGUG
rnacentral:rRNA from 1 species